UGAAGGACACGUGGAACUGGCGUUUCCCUUUAGAGAUGCCGCCGCGCGUCCAAUCAGACGUAGCCGGGGACGGCCCGGGGCUGGCGUUUCUGGGCGGGCCGCGCCGGCGGGGGCGGGCCUUCCGGUGUCCGCGGCAGACGGUUGCUUUAGGACCACCAGACGGGUUAGGGCCGCGUCCAGUAGGCGCUCCGGGUCCGCGAAAACCCGGCGCGGGAAGGCGCGAGACCCGGAGAGAGGAGCUGACCGCAGGGAUGUCCCGCUGAGCCCCGGCGUCCCGGCUGUAGAGGUGGCCUCGUUGUGUCCGCCGGAGCAAAAUGUCUGUGCCCGCGGCCUCCCCGGAGUCACCCCCUCUGCGUGGUGUUCUCUUGACCGAGCGGGAGAGGGAGGGUCAGAAAAACGUCCUGGCCAGGGGUCCGGGGUCGUGGGAGGAGGGAGACGGGCGGUUGGAUUUUGGGUGUGUUGAGUCUUCGUUGGCCCCUGCACAGACGCAAAGGUGUGGAUGCCGGGGACAGGUUGACCUGCGCACGGCCACGGCUCGAAGCCCCUGCCCCGUAGCAGACCCCGUGUCUGCCGUCCCAGAUCAAGAGGGCCUGGUAGACCGGCGGAAGCCGCGGUUGGCGCCACCUCUUCUCUCAAGCACCCUCACGCAGUCUUCAGAGGCGCAUGAGCAGCUGGGACAGGUACAAGUCUCUCGUCUUCAGAGCAGCCGAUGUCCGGCUGAGUCACCGUCAGACGCCAGGCACUGACGUGGGGGUUGAGAAUCCGCUGGGCUUUGCCUGCGCGCCUUCCCUGGACGUUCAGUUUGUGAAGGUCAUUGCUUUUCCCUAGGUGUGGAUUUUUCUCACCUCCCAAAAUCUAUCACGAGGUGGGUUGGUCUCUGCUGGGCUGGACUCUCACGAAUCGGUCCGCAGGUGAACAACACGAACUCUUCAGUCACCUGUGGCAGUAAGGCCCUGAGGUUACCUGAACCUGGGGACUGCACGGGGUGGGCUCCCACAUGCCACCUUGUUUUCUUAACAUUUAUUUUAAAUGCAUUAUUUGGAAGGCACAGAGAGACAGAGACGGACAAUGCAGAGGGCUAUUUCAUCAUCUGAUUCAUUCCCCAAAUGCCCACAAAGAGCAGGCCAAAUCUAAGAGCCUAGAACUCAUUUCUGGGUUCCUAAUAUGGCUGAUAAGGACCCAAAUACCUCCCAGGGCAUGGAUUCGGAAGCAGAGUCAGGACUGGAACCCAGGUGCUACAAUGGAGGAUACCAGUAUCCCAAGUGCUGUCUUAUCCACUGGCCCAGAUGCCCAUCCCUCUCAUCCUCUUUUAAAUAGAUUUAUUUUAUUUAUUUGAAAGGAAGAGUUAGAAAGAGAGAGAGGGAGAGACAGAGAGAGUUCUUCCAUCUACUGGUUCACUGCACAAACGGCUGCAAUGGCCAGGACUGGGCCAGGACAAAGCCAGGAGUCAGGAGCUUCUUCCCAGUCUGCCACGUGGGUGCAGGGGCCCAAGCACCUGGGCCAUCCUCUGCUGCUUUCCCAGGCACAUUAGUAGGGAGCUGGAUCAGAAGUGGAGCAGCUGGGACAUGAACAAGUGCCUGUAUGGGAUGCCAGCAUCACAGGUGGCUGCUUUAUCUACUACGCCACAACGCUGGCCCUGUCCCUCCCUCCCACUUUCCUGAUGGCUUCCCUGACGGCUUCCCUGACUGCAGUCCCCUAGCUGUGUCCCACUCACUGUCCAUUUAUCUAUUUUUAAAAAAUUUUUUAUUUGAAAGUUAUAAGAGAGGCAGAGACAAAAAGGUCUUCCAUCUGCUGGUUCACUCCCCACAGGGCCCAAGUGGCUGCAGCUGGGCUGAUCCAAAGCUGGGAGCCAGCUUUCCCAGGCCAUAGCAGAGAGCUGGAUCAGAAGUGGAGCAGCCAGGACUUGAACAGGCGCCGGUAGCAACUCUGGCCUCAGACUUCUGGUUGGCUCUCUAUUUGGGCGGGGCUUCCCUGCCCCUCCCACAAGGCCAGUGGAGGAAAUGGGAUGCUCCAGCAAUGGAAGUCGCUCCUCUGGGCUGUGGCCUCUCCUGAGCACCUCUGCUUUCCCAGCGUGGCCUGCCGUGGGAGUGAGGCCCAGGGUGUAGCAGAGAACUACAGUUGUGGGGCGGGGAAAGGAGAAACCAGGCUGCCAGGGCAAGCCGUGGAGAUGGAAGGGGUUUUUCAGUCCUUGGACCCGGCGUCGAAUUGUCGACCUGCCCUACUGGUGAGCCUGCGUUUCCCGGUUUGUCAGCCUGGACUUUGCUGCUCCCAGGUUCCAGAGAGUCCCUUCUCUUGGCCCCUAACCAGAAGAGGAGGCCGCGAUGGCCAGGGAUGGGUCUGGCGUGGGCAGAACCCUCUCUGCCCUUCGCUGAAGAAGUGCUGGCAGGAUCCCCGUCAACGGAGCCCCUGGGGGUGGGGAGCUGGGGAUCCCCAAGAGCUUGGCAGCUGGGACAGUGCUGCCUGACGAUGGCUCUCUCCACUCAGCAGCCUGGACCUCAUCUGCCACCCAGGACAGCCCGUCCCGAGGUGCCUUGGUGCACCCCUGGUACAGAGAAGGCAUUCAGUGAUGACUUGUGGGUGAAUGCAUUCUCUGCGUCGCUCACUUUACAGGAGAGAACCCAGAUCUGGCCUGUUCCAGAUGCUGAGGCUGCCCCUUCUCUUGGGCAAGCCUGGUGCCUGAAGUGCCAAGAGGUACCAGCAGAGGGAGGGUGCGGCGGGAUGGGGUAGGCAGAGCAAGGGCUGAGAGGCUGCGUCUCCAGAACCGUGGAGUAGGUGGUGCUGAGGCCAGUGGGCGAGAGUGGGGAGGGGCACCCCAUGAUCCUGGCUUGGGCAGUUUCCAGGGGCCCCUUGUGAGCAGUGGGCGGGCAGGCACCGAGGUACUAAUCAGCAGACAGGGAUGCUCUUGGGAGGAGAGAAUGAGGCCUCAGGCUCCCAGCUGGGAGGGUGGAGAAGUCACAGCAGCCUCUAGGAGGGAGGGGCCGACCCCACUGGCCACCCUCAGCCAUCACCUUGUCUCCCCAGGCCCCCUGCCUUUGUGCAGGCUAUGCCAUCGACCUCGGUUCCAGCUUCUGAGCACCCUUGACAGUAACUGAGGUUCCCUCCUCCAGGCACCCUUCCUGGACCAUCCUCAGGCAGUAUCCUCUCCCCCUGUGGGUCAGUCCAGGCCAGGUCCACUCCUGCCCACCUUCACGCCCCCAGGAUGUGAUGGGGAGAGAAAAGUUGAGGGAGAUCUUUGAGACCAUACAGUAGGUUGAAUAAUGGCACCCAAAGAUAUGCAUGUCCUAAUUCCUGGACUUUGUGAUCCCGUUACAUUACUUGGCAAAAUGGACUUUGCAGGUAUAAAUAAAUUCAGAUUAUUCUGUAUUAUCUGGGUGGGCCCAGUACUCCCAGUGUCCUUAAAGGGAAAGAGGAUGGAGGCAGGCAUUGGCCUAGCCACUUAGAUGCUGCUUAGCAUGCGUGCCACGUGGGAGUGCCUGGGUUGAGUCUCAGCUUAGCUGCCAGUUCCAGCUUCCUGCUGAUGCACUCUGGGAGGCAUUCGGUGAUGACUCAACUACUUGGGUCUGCCGCCCACAUGGAAGAUGUAGAUGGAGUUCCUGGCUUCUGGUUUGACCUGGCUCAACCCCGCUGUCACAGGCAUUUGGGGGACUGAACCAACAGAAGGGAGACAAUUCUCUAUCUCUGCCUUUUAAACAAAAUAAAGAGGUUAGCAGGAGGGUCUUAGAGAGAUUGGAAGAUGCUGUGCUGCUGGUCUUUUUUUAAGAUUUAUUUAUUUAUUUGAAAGAGAGGAGAGCAGAGAGGGAGGUUUUCUAUCCGCUGGUUCACUCCCCAAUUGGCCACAACGUCCAGAGCUGCGCCGAUCUGAAGCCAGGAGCCAGGAGUUUCUUCUGGGUCUCCCACAUGAGUGCAGGGGCCCAAGGACUUGGGCCAUCUUGUACAGCUUUCCCAGGCCACAGCAAAGAGCUGGAUCGGAAGUGGAGCAGCCAGGAUCCAAACCAGUGCCCAUGUGGGAUGCUGGCACUCAGACAGCAGCUUACCCUGCCACGCCAUAGCACUGGCCCCGCUGAUGGUCUUGAAGAAGCCAUGAGCCAAGAAAUGCACCUCUAAAAGCUGGAAAACCUACAUGAAUAGAUUGUCUUUUAGAGGUGAUAAAACAUGUGUCCUUCUAA